AAAAAAAAUUAAUGCUUUAUGUGAAUACCUAAGGACUCAAAGAUGACGAAGGGCGUGUUAACCUGCGAAAAUUUUUGGUGAGUUGGAAAAAAACUUUAAUCCAAAAGUUCCCCAAUGAAGCAAUUCUUUAAACUACUGAAAGAAUUCAUAAAUCAGUAAGAAAUAACUUAGUGAACUGAAACAUCUUAUUAACUAAAGGAAAAAAAAGCAAACGCGAUUUCCUAAGUAGCGGCGAGCGAAACGGAAAAAGUCUAAACCGAUAUUUCUCGGGGUUGUGGGACUUGGAAAAGCCCCCUUCGGGGGCUCCUUUUUUUUAUUAAAAAACAGCUGAAACCUGUACCAAAGAUGGUGAAAGUCCAGUUUUAAUUAAAAAAAAUAUCCUCAAAAAUCCCAAGUAACUUGGGACACGUGAAAUCCCUUGUGAAUCAACGAGGACCACCUCGUAAGACUAAAUACUCUUGAGUCACUGAUAGUGAAAAGUACCGUAAGGGAAAGGUGAAAUAGACCCCCUGGUGGGGAGUGAAAUAGAUCAUGAAACCUGAAGCAAUCAAUCUGUGGGAGGAACACUGACCACGUGCCUGUUGAAGAAUGAGCCGGCGACUCAUGAUUUUUGGCUUGGUUAAAGACAAUUUCUGGAGCCUUAGUGAAAACAAGUCUGAAAAAUGGCAUUUAGAAAGUCAAAAAUUAUGGACCCGAACCCGAGUGAUCUAACCAUGACCAGGAAGAAUCUUAGGUAAAACUAAGUGGAUGUCCGAACCGACCGAUGUUGAAAAAUCGGCGGAUGAGUUGUGGUUAGGGGUGAAAUGCUAAUCGAACUCGGAGCUAGCUGGUUCUCCCCGAAAUGCGUUGUGGCGCAGCAUUUGAAGAUGACCUAUAAAUUGGUAGAGCACUGUUUCGAUGCGGGCUAGUCAAAUGGUACCAAAUUGUUGCAAACUCCGAAUAAUUUAUAAGAAAUGCCUUCAAAAAGUGAGACUCUGGGGGAUAAGCUCCAGAGUCAAGAGGGAAACAGCCCAGACCAUUAGUUAAGGCCCCUAAAUAAUAGCUAAGUGUUAAAGGAGGUUUCUACGCUGAAACAACCAGAAGGUUCGCUUAGAAGCAGCUAUCCUUGAAAGAAUGCGUAAUAGCUCACUGGUUUCUGUUAAGCGUCGAUGCGCCGAAAAUGUCUGGGACUAAGUUAUUUGCCGAAACUGUGGGGAUUCUCUAUCUCAUAUCAUUUGAUUUUUGUGGAGGAGAUUCCAGUAGGGGAGCGUUCUGUUUUGAGGUGAAGCAUUUUCGAAAGAAAAAAAAAUAAAUUUUUAUGAUGGAUCAAACAGAAGUGAGAAUGUCGGCUUGAGUAACGAAAACAUUGGUGAGAAUCCAAUGCCCCGAAAACCUAAGGUUUCCUCUUCAAGGUUCGUCCAAAGAGGGUUAGUCAGGACCUAAGAUUAGGCUGAAAAGCGUCAUUGAUGGAUAACAGGUUAAUAUUCCUGUACUCAUUUGAAUUUUGUGACAAAGGACGAAGAAAACAAAUUCAAGCUCUCCAAAUGGUUCGGAGCGGAAAUGAUUGACAUAUUGUUCAAAAACAAAAAUUUGAACUUGAACAGUUUUCUGUUUCAAUAUGAAGACAUGAUACGUUAUGGCUGGGGCUUGCCUCAUCCCUAAUUUGAAUUUUGUUCUAUUUCCAAGAAAAGUUUGAAACAUUUUAGAAUUCAAAUGACCUGUACCAUAAACUGACACAGGUAGGUAAGUUGAGUAAACUAAGGGGUGCGAGAUAACUCUCUCUAAGGAACUCGGCAAAAUAGCCCCGUAACUUCGGGAGAAGGGGUGUCUAUUUAAACAAUAGAUCGCAGUGAACAAAUUCAUUGAACUUUUUAACAAAAAAAUAGGUCUCCGCAAAGUCGCAAGACAACGUAUGGGGGCUGACGCCUGCCCAGUGCCGGAAGGUUAAACAAAUUGGUGAAAGCUAAUGACUGAAGCCCCGGUGAACGGCGGCCGUAACUCUGACGGUAGCGAAAUUCCUUGUCACGUAAGUUGUGACCCGCACGAAAGGCGUAAUCAAAUGAAUACUGUCUCAGAGAGAGACUCGGUGAAAUAGACAUGUCCGUGAAGAUGCGGACUUCUUACAUCAAGACACGAAGACCCCGUGCAGCUUGACUGUAUCUUGAUAUUGAUUUCCAGUUAUUUUUGUGCAGUCUAGGUGGGAGGCUUAAAGCCGUGAGUGAGAUACCACUCUGAAAUAACUAGAAUUCUCAAAGUGAUUCCUUGAAGCAGGACACUUGACAGUGUCUGGUGGGCAGUUUUUUUGGGGCGAAAAUCUCCUAAAAGGUAACGGAGGUUUGCAAAGGUUUCCUCAAACUGGACGGAAAUCAGUUGUUGAGUGUAAAGGCAAAAGGAAGCUUGACUGUUAGACCUAUAAGUCGAACAGAGGCGAAAGCCGGCCUUAGUGAUCCGACGGUUUCCAUGUGGAAGGGCCGUCGCGCAAAAAAUAAAAGUUACGCCGGGGAUAACAGGCUUAUCUUCCCCAAGAGUUCACAUCGACGGGAAGGUUUGGCACCUCGAUGUUGACUUUUCGCAACCUGGGGCUGGAGAAUGUCCCAAGGGUUGGGCUGUUCGCCCAUUAAAGCGGAACAUGAGUUGAGUUCAGAACGUCGUGAGACAGUUUGGUCUAUAUCUGAUGUAAGCGUUAGAAUAUUGAGAGCACUUUUCCAUAAUACGAGAGGACUUGGAAGAACGUACCCCUGGUGGACCAGUUCUUAUACCAAUAGGACGCGCUGGGUAGCUAUGUACGGAAUAGAGAACUGCUGAAAGCAUCUAAGUAGGAAACUUAUCUCAAGAUUAAUAUUCUCCAUUAGACUCCGGUCAGAUGAACCGGUUAAGAGGUUUCAAGUGAAAGAUUUGUAAGAAUUGAAGCUGAGAAAUACUAAUGAUCAAUUGUUUUUAAUUC
rnacentral:rRNA from 1 species